rnacentral:rRNA from 1 species
UGGAGUUCGAGAGAGGGAAGUGAAAUUCCGGGAGUAGCUGAGAAAUGUAUAGAUAUCUGGAGGAACACCGGUGGCGAAGGCGGCUUCCUGGACCGACACUGACGCUGAGGCGCGAAAGCCGAGGGAGCAAACGGAAUUAAAUACCCCGGUCCUCCUGGCCCUAAACGAUGAAUGCUUGGUGUGGCGGGUAUCCAUCCCUGCCGUGCCUAAACUAAAGCAUUAAGCAUUCCGCCUGGGGAGUACGGUCGCAAGGCUAAAACUCAAAGGAAUUGACAGGGGCCCACACAAGCGGUGGAGCAUGUUCUUUAAUUCGACCCAACAAAAACAACCUUACCCGGGCUUGAACUGUAGGUGACCGACUACUAAAGUGGUUUUCCGCAAGGACACCUGCAGAGGUGCUGCAUGGCUGUCGUCCGCUCGUGUCGUGAGAUGUUUGGUUAAGUCC